GAUGAACGCUGGCGGCGUGCCUAAUACAUGCAAGUCGAGCGAAAAGACGAGGCGCUUGCUCCUCUCACGUUAGCCGAACACGGGUGAAUCACGCGUGGAUCCCCUACCUAUAUGAGUGGGAUAACUUCGGGACACCGGAGCUAAUCCCAUAUAAUCUCUUGCACCGCAGGGUUCGAUAGUAAAAGACGGUGUUGCUGGCACGUAUCGAUGGUUCCGCGCCGCAUUAGGUAGUUGGUAAGGUAACGGCUUACCACGGCAACCAUGCGUAGCCGACCGGCGGGGGGGAUCGGCGACACUGGAACGGAGACACGGUCCAUGCGCCUAAGGGAGGCAGCAGUAGGGAAUGGUACGCAAUGGGCGAAAGUCUGACGGAGCAACGCGGCGUGAGUGAUGACGGCGUUCGGAUCGUAAUGCUCGGUUAUGAGGGAUGAACAAAUUUGUAAGUUAAUAUGCACGGCGUGACGGUACUGAGUCAGAAAGCCACGGCUAACUACGUG
rnacentral:rRNA from 1 species